GCUGCCUCUAGAAACAUAGCAGGUAUGGCUACUGUGUCCUUUUGCAACCAUAGGUGGCAGAGAGGAGAAAGGCAAUGUGUAUGCUCAGUAUCUGAUCUAGGAACAUCUGAGUGAUUAGUAGCCUAACAUU